GGGUUGUGAGGUUAAGCGACUAAGCGUACACGGUGGAUGCCCUGGCAGUCAGAGGCGAUGAAGGACGUGCUAAUCUGCGAUAAGCGUCGGUAAGGUGAUAUGAACCGUUAUAACCGGCGAUUUCCGAAUGGGGAAACCCAGUGUGUUUCGACACACUAUCAUUAACUGAAUCCAUAGGUUAAUGAGGCGAACCGGGGGAACUGAAACAUCUAAGUACCCCGAGGAAAAGAAAUCAACCGAGAUUCCCCCAGUAGCGGCGAGCGAACGGGGAGGAGCCCAGAGUCUGAAUCAGUGUGUGUGUUAGUGGAAGCGUCUGGAAAGGCGCGCGAUACAGGGUGACAGCCCCGUACACAAAAAUGCACAUAUUGUGAGCUCGAUGAGUAGGGCGGGACACGUGGUAUCCUGUCUGAAUAUGGGGGGACCAUCCUCCAAGGCUAAAUACUCCUGACUGACCGAUAGUGAACCAGUACCGUGAGGGAAAGGCGAAAAGAACCCCGGCGAGGGGAGUGAAAAAGAACCUGAAACCGUGUACGUACAAGCAGUGGGAGC
rnacentral:rRNA from 1 species